rnacentral:rRNA from 1 species
CCUACGGGGGGCAGCAGUGGGGAAUAUUGCACAAUGGGGGAAACCCUGAUGCAGCGACGCCGCGUGAGCGAUGAAGUAUUUCGGUAUGUAAAGCUCUAUCAGCAGGGAAGAAAAUGACGGUACCUGACUAAGAAGCCCCGGCUAACUACGGGCCAGCAGCCGCGGCAAUACGUAGGGGGCAAGCGUUAUCCGGAUUUACGGGGUGUAAAGGGAGCGUAGACGGCUGUGCAAGUCCGGUGUGAAAGCCCGGGGCUCAACCCCGGGACUGCAUUUGGAACUGUGUGGCUGGAGUGUCGGAGAGGCAGGCGGAAUUCCUAGUGUAGCGGUGAAAUGCGUAGAUAUUGGGAGGAACACCAGUGGCGAAGGCGGCCUGCUGGAUGAUGACUGACGUUGAGGCUCGAAAGCGUGGGGAGCAAACAGGAUUAGAUACCCCUGUAGUC